rnacentral:rRNA from 1 species
AUACGGAGGACGCGAGCGUUAUCCGGAUUCAUUGGGUUUAAAGGGUGCGUAGGCGGUUUGCUAAGCGGGAGGUGAAAUGCCGGCGCUCAACGUCGGAAGUGCCUCCCGAACUGGUGGACUGGAAUGACUCUGCCGUGGGAGGAAUGUGUAGUGUAGCGGUGAAAUGCUUAGAGAUUACACAGAACACCGAUUGCGAAGGCAUCUCACGAAGGGUUGAUUGACGCUGAGGCACGAAAGCGUGGGGAUCAAACAGGAUUAGAUACCCUGGUAGUCCACGCAGUAAACGAUGAUGGCUAACCGCUGGUUUUUUCGGAUCAGUGGCCAAGCGAAAGCGAUAAGCCAUCCACCUGGGGAGUACGACCGCAAGGUUGAAACUCAAAUGAAUUGACGGGG